GCCAUGAUCGUAAAGUGGUUAGUACGUUGCGUUGUGGCCGCAAUUAUCCAGGUUCGAAUCCUGGUCACCCUCAGGGGGCU
rnacentral:tRNA from 1 species